rnacentral:rRNA from 1 species
UACGUAGGGGGCAAGCGUUAAUCGGAAUUACUGGGCGUAAAGCGUGCGCAGGCGGUUUUGUAAGCCAGAUGUGAAAUCCCCGGGCUUAACCUGGGAAUGGCAUUUGGGACUGCAAGGCUGGAGUGCGGCAGAGGAGACUGGAAUUCCUGGUGUAGCAGUGAAAUGCGUAGAUAUCAGGAGGAACACCAAUUGCGAAGGCAGCUCGCUGGGACGUAACUGACGCUGAGACGCGAAAGCGUGGGGAGCAAACAGG